rnacentral:misc_RNA from 1 species
AAAAAAAAAAAAAAAAAAACCUCUAGAACCAUCACUAGAGUUCUCCUUUAUUGAUGUCGAAAAACCUAAAUAAAUAAAAUUCAAUUGGAACAGCUAACUAGGACCAUCUCAUGAAAAACCAUUCUGGCCACUUUUUAACUAUGCUGACUGAUAAUUUUUUUAUUGUGAAGAAAGAAAUGAAAGAAAAUAUAUUUAUGUCCAACAUUUUUGUGCAGGUAUUUCGUGAUAACCAAUUU